rnacentral:rRNA from 1 species
GACAGAGGUGCCAAGCGUUAGGCGGAAUCACUGGGCUUAAAGCGUGUGUAGGCGGAUCGUUAAGUACCUUGUGAAAUCCCACGGCUUAACCGUGGAACUGCUCGGUAUACUGGCGGUCUUGAGCCACUUAGGGGCUACCGGAACAAAUGGUGGAGCGGUGAAAUGCGUAGAUAUCCGGAGGAACACCGAUGGCGAAGGCAACCGCCUGGGCCUGUACUGACGCUGAGACACGAAAGCGUGGGGAGCAAACAGG